rnacentral:rRNA from 1 species
UGGUGCCAGCAGCCGCGGUAAUUCCAGCUCCAAUAGCGUAUAUUAAACUUGUUGCAGUUAAAAAGCUCGUAGUUGUAUUUUUGCGUUGACGGUUUGACCAUUUGGUUGGUUAUUUCGUUUUCGCUUUUGGGAAUUUCCCUUUUUACUUUGAGAAAAUUAGAGUGUUUCAAGCAGACUUUUGUCUUGAAUACUUCAGCAUGGAAUAAUAGAGUAGGACUUUGGUUCUAUUUUGUUGGUUAUUGAACCUUAGUAAUGGUUAAUAGGAACGGUUGGGGGCAUUCGUAUUUAACUGUCAGAGGUGAAAUUCUUAGAUUUGUUAAAGACGAACUACUGCGAAAGCAUUUGCCAAGGACGUUUCCAUUAAUCAAGAACGAAAGUUAGGGGAUCGAAGACGAUCAGAUACCGUCGUAGUCCUAACCAUAAACUAA